UACCAGCACUCCGAGUGGUCGGGACGAUUAUUGGGCCUAAAGCAUCCGUAGCCGGCCUUACAAGUCCUCCGUUAAAUCCAGCUGCUUAACAGAUGGGCUGCGGAGGAUACUAUAAGACUAGGAGGCAGGAGAGGCAAGCGGUACUCAGUGGGUAGGGGUAAAAUCCGUUGAUCCAUUGAAGACCACCAGUUGGCGAAGGCGGCUUGCCAGAAUGCGCUCGACGGUGAGGGAUGAAAGCUGGGGGAGCAAACCGGG
rnacentral:rRNA from 1 species